CCGUCGAUAGCUCAGUUGGUAGAGCGGAGGACUGUAGAUGUUCUAUAACUAGCAGAGAUGCGGUUAUCCUUAGGUCGCUGGUUCGAAUCCGGCUCGACGGA
rnacentral:tRNA from 1 species